GAUUAACAGAUUUUCUUCCAAACUACUCAACAACAAAUCCCCUUUUGAAUUGCUGUUUGGCCAGAUUCCUUCCUACAAACACCUUAAAACAUUUGGUUGCUUAUGUUUUGCCUCUGUCCCUAAACAGAAUAGAGAUAAAUUCCAGCCUAGAGUUGAUCCCUGUGUUUUCCUGGGUUACCCUUUGGCUAAAAAGGGUUACAAGCUGUAUAACUUGAAGUCUAAGAUCACCCUGAUAUCCAGGGAUGUCAUUUUUCAUGAGGAUGUAUUUCCUUUUGCCUCUCCAAGGACUUCUUCCCAUGCCUCUUUUCCUCCUGUCAAUCCUCCUUCUGCCUGGGUUCCUCCUGUUGAUGACUCUCUGCCUCAUCCUUCCUCUUCUUCCACUCAUCACCCUCUUGCCUACUCCUCUUCCUCACCUUCCUCUCCAUCACCUACUUCUUCAGUACCUUCUUCAUCUGCACCCAGAAGAUCCACUAGGGCACAUGUCCUUCCUGCCCACCUGCAUCAGUAUGUCUGCACUCUCCCUCCUUCUCUUUCUGGUCCCAGUGCUUCUUCCACAUGUCUUCACACUUUGGUUAGCAGUCCAGAAGCAGAACCUACCACCUAUCAGCAAGCUGCUUCUAUUCCUGCCUGGCAUGAGGCUAUGUGCAAGGAAUUUGCAGCUUUGGAGGCCAAUAAUACCUGGUCAAUAGUUCCCCUUCCCCCUGGUAAAAGACCUAUUGGUUGCAAGUGGGUGUAUAAGAUCAAAUAUAAGGAUGAUGGGUCUGUGGAAAGACAUAAGGCUAGGCUGGUUGUUAGGGGUGACACCCAAGUUGAGGGUGUAGACUUCACUGAGACUUUUUCUCAUGUUGUCAAAUUUUCAACUAUCAAAUCCCUUAUUGGUAGGGCUGAUGGGUCUGUGGAAAGACACAAGGCAAGACUGGUUGUUAGGGGUGAUACCCAAAUUGAAGGUGUAGACUUCACUGAGACCUUUUCUCCUGUUGUAAAGUUUUCAACCAUCAAUUCCCUCAUUGUUGUGGCUGUUAAACAGAAUUGGUCCUUAUUUCAACUUGAUGUGAAUAAUGCAUUCUUACAUGGUGACUUAGCUGAAGAAGUUUAUAUGAAAUUUCCCCUUGGACUGGAUGUUGCCUGUUCUGCCUCUUCUUCUACUUUGGUUUGUCUGCUUCAGAAGUCUUUGUAUGGGUUAAGGCAAUCUUCUAGGCAAUGGUAUGCCAAGCUCUCCCAGGCCUUGUGUUCUAAAGGUUUUUCUUCUUCCUUUUAUAUGAAAUUGCCCCCUAGACUGGAUGUUGCCUGUUCUGCCUCUUCUUCCCUUUUGGUUUGUCUGCUUCAGAAGUCUUUGUAUGGGUUAAGGCAAGCUUCUAGGCAAUGGUAUGCCAAGCUCUCCCAGUCUUUAUGUUCUAAAGGUUUUGCUUCUUCCCUCAAUGACUAUUCUCUUUUCCUUAAGAAAUCUGGUUCUUCUAUUGUCCUGUUGGCUGUCUAUGUUGAUGACAUUAUCCUCACUGGUAAUGAUUUAGGGGAAAUUAGUUCUUUGAAGAGUUUUCUUGAUCAAUAAUUCAAAAUCAAGGACUUGGGGGUGCUUAAUUACUUUCUUGGUAUUGAGGUCAGUUAUCACUCUGCUGGGCUCCUGCUCUACCAGAAAAAAUUUGUCACUGAUCUGCUCAAAGCUUAUAACUGUGAGGCUGUUACUCCUGUGACUUGUCCCCUUGACCUCUCAGUCAAACUCAAACUAGAUUUAGGGGAUCCUCUUCCAUCUCCUGAAUCCUAUAGGUGCUUAGUAGGGAAACUCAAUUUUCUCACUCAUACUAGACCUGACUUAGCCUUUGCUGUCCAGCAUUUAAGCCAAUAUCUCCAG
rnacentral:lncRNA from 1 species